rnacentral:rRNA from 1 species
AUUGAACGCUGGCGGCAGGCCUAACACAUGCAAGUCGAGCGGAGCGGCGGACGGGUGAGUAAUGCCUAGGAAUCUGCCUGGUAGUGGGGGAUAAUGUCCGGAAACGGGCGCUAAUACCGCAUACUAUCAGACGAGCCUAGGUCGGAUUAGCUAGUUGGUGGGGUAAAGGCAUACCACGGCGACGAUCCGUAACUGGUCUGAGAGGAUGAUCAGUCACACUGGAACUGGGAAACGGUCCAAACUCCUACGGGAGGCAGCAGUGGGGAAUAUUGGACGAUGGGCGAAAGCCUGAUCCAGCCAGGCCGCGUGUGUGAAGAAGGUCUUCGGAGUGUAAAACACUUUAAGUUGGGAGGCGUUACCAACAGAAUAAGCACCGGCUAACUUCGUGCCAGCAGCCGCGGUAAUUC